UUCUCAUUGGACCAACGACUGCAGGGGGGCUGGCUUGUGGUUCACAGAGGUCUUUCUAAACGCUCGAUGAAGAAGAGGAGUGUUUAUGAAAUCAAACGCCGCAGGAAAAAAAGAUAUGGAUGUGUUCCAUCAUGACAGUCAUCAUCUCCAGGGUGUAUCCUGCCUUGAACCCAUAGCUUGCUGGGAUAGGUCUAGAAAACUGAUGAAAGCAUUUCAAAAGUAAUCAGUAGAUCAAUGACAACUUGGAGUAAGUAGCUUAAAUGACAAAGGAUCGGGCCAUUUUUUUGGUAUUUUACCAUAUUGUGCAGCAUCAGGCUUUGUAUAACAUAUGUGAAGACAACGACAUAA